rnacentral:rRNA from 1 species
GACGAACCGAGCGAACGUUGUUCGGAAUCACUGGGCUUAAAGGGCGCGUAGGCGGCUUACCAAGUCAGGGGUGAAAUUUUGCGGCUUUACCGUAACAGUGCCUUUGAUACUGGUAGGCUCGAGGGAGGUAGGGUUCGCGGAACUUCUGGUGGAGCGGUGAAAUGCGUUGAUAUUCACAGGAACUCCGGUGGCGAAGGCGAGGUGCUGGACCCCAUCUGACGCUGAGGCGCGAAAGCCAGGGGAGCGAACGGG